rnacentral:rRNA from 1 species
ACGGCUCAGUAACACGUGGACAACCUGCCCAAAGGUCCGGGAUAACCCCGGGAAACUGGGGAUAAUACCGGAUAAAUCACAAAUACUGGAAUGGUUUUGUGGUUGAAACUUCCGGGGCCUUUGGAUGGGUCUGCGGCUGAUUAGGUUGUUGCCGGUGUAACGUACCGUCAAGCCUGUAAUCAGUACGGGUUGUGGGAGCAAGAGCCCGGAGAUGGAUUCUGAGACACGAAUCCAGGCCCUACGGGGCGCAGCAGGCGCGAAAACUCUACAAUGCAGGCAACUGCGAUAGGGGAACAUCGAGUGAUACUCAUCUUGGGUGUCUGUCCUCCCGUCUAAAAAACGGGAGUUAGCAAGGGCCGGGCAAGACCGGUGCCAGCCGCCGCGGUAAUACCGGCGGCUCGAGUGGUGGCCGAUAUUAUUGAGUCUAAAGGGUCCGUAGCCGGCUUUGCAAGUCUUUUGGGAAAUCCAGCGGCUUAACCGUUGGUCGUCCGGGAGAUACUACAUUGCUUGGGACUGGGAGAGGUAGGAGGUACUCAGGGGGUAGGAGUGAAAUCCUGUAAUCCUUUGGGGACCACCGGUGGCGAAGGCGUCCUACCAGAACAGGUCCGACGGUGAGGGACGAGAGCUAGGGGCACGAACCGGAUUAGAUACCCGGGUAGUCCUAGCCGUAAACGAUGCUCGCUAGGUGUCACAACAAUCGUGAAUUGUUGUGGUGCCGUAGGGAAGCCGUGAAGCGAGCCACUUGGGAAGUACGACCGCAAGGUUGAAACUUAAAGGAAUUGGCGGGGGAGCAC